rnacentral:rRNA from 1 species
UACAGAGGGUGCGAGCGUUAAUCGGAAUUACUGGGCGUAAAGGGCGUGUAGGUGGAUUUAUAAGUUUGAUGUGAAAGCCCCGGGCUUAACCUGGGAAUUGCGUUGAAGACUGUAAGACUAGAGUUGGACAGAGGGUAGUGGAAUUUCCGGUGUAGCGGUGAAAUGCGUAGAGAUCGGAAAGAACACCCGUGGCGAAGGCGGCUACCUGGGUUCAAACUGACACUGAGGCGCGAAAGCGUGGGGAGCGAACAGGAUUAGAUACCCUGGUAGUCCAUGCUGUAAACGAUGAGAACUGGAUGUGCGGGAGGUAUAAGCCUCUUGCGUAUCGAAGCUAACGCGUUAAGUUCUCCGCCUGGGGAGUACGGCCGCAAGGUUAAA